rnacentral:rRNA from 1 species
GCCUAACACAUGCAAGUCGAGCGGCAGCGACAACAUUGACCCUUCGGGGGAUUUGUUGGGCGGCGAGCGGCGGACGGGUGAGUAAUGCCUGGGAAUAUGCCUUAGUGUGGGGGAUAACUAUUGGAAACGAUAGCUAAUACCGCAUAAUGCCUACGGGCCAAAGAGGGGGACCUUCGGGCCUCUCGCGCUAAGAUUAGCCCAGGUGGGAUUAGCUUGUUGGUGGGGUAACGGCUCACCAAGGCAACGAUCCCUAGCUGGUCUGAGAGGAUGAUCAGCCACACUGGAAGUGAGACACGGUCCAGACUCCUACGGGAGGCAGCAGUGGGGAAUAUUGCACAAUGGGGGAAACCCUGAUGCAGCCAUGCCGCGUGUAUGAAGAAGGCCUUCGGGUUGUAAAGUACUUUCAGUCGUGAGGAAGGGUGUGUAGUUAAUAGCUGCAUGNCUUGAGGUUAGCGACAGAAGAAGCACC